UACGGGGGGAGCAAGCGUUGUUCGGAUUUACUGGGCGUAAAGGGCGCGUAGGCGGUCAGCACAAGUCAGUUGUGAAAUCUCCGGGCUUAACUCGGAAAGGUCAACUGAUACUGUGCGACUAGAGUGCGGAAGGGGCAACUGGAAUUCUCGGUGUAGCGGUGAAAUGCGUAGAUAUCGAGAGGAACACCUGCGGCGAAGGCGGGUGCUGGGCCGACACUGACGCUGAUGCGCGAAAGCCAGGGGAGCAAACGGG
rnacentral:rRNA from 1 species